rnacentral:rRNA from 1 species
AGUGAACGCUGGCGGCAGGCCUAAUACAUGCAAGUCGAACGGCAGCACAGCAGAGCUUGCUCUGUGGGUGGCGAGUGGCGGGACGGGUGAGGAAUACGUGGGAAUCUGCCCAGUCGUGGGGGAUAACGUAGGGAAACUUACGCUAAUACCGCAUGCGCCCUUGGGGAAAGCCCGGGGGACCCUUCGGGGCCUGGCGCGAUUGGAUGAGCCCAGUCGGAUUAGCUAGUUGGCGGGGUAAAGCCCACCAAGGCGACGAUCCGUAGCUGGUCUGAGAGGAUGAUCAGCCACACUGGAACUGAGACACGGUCCAGACUCCUACGGGAGCAGCAGUAGGGAAUAUUGGACAAUGGGCGCAAGCCUGAUCCAGCCAUGCCGCGUGAGUGAAGAAGGCCCUC